rnacentral:rRNA from 1 species
GGUUAAGUGACUAAGCGUACACGGUGGAUGCCUUGGCAGUCAGAGGCGAUGAAAGACGUAGUAACUUGCGAUAAGCCCAGAUUAGGUAGUAACAACCAUUUGAGUCUGGGAUUUCUGAAUGGGGAAACCCACGUGCAUAAGCACGUAUCCUUACCUGAAUACAUAGGGUAAGGAGGCGAACCGGGGGAACUGAAACAUCUAAGUACCCCGAGGAAAAGAAAUCAACCGAGAUUCCGAAAGUAGCGGCGAGCGAAAUUGGACUAGCCCUUAAGCUUUACACGCGUUAGACGAACGGUCUGGAAAGUCCGACGAUACAGGGUGAUAGUCCCGUAGUUGACGACGUGUGUUCAGUGAAAUCGAGUAGGGCGGGACACGUGAUAUCCUGUCUGAAUAUGGGGGGACCAUCCUCCAAGGCUAAAUACUACUGACUGACCGAUAGUGAACCAGUACCGUGAGGGAAAGGCGAAAAGAACCCCUGUGAGGGGAGUGAAAUAGAACCUGAAACCGUGUACGUACAAGCAGUAGGAGCAGGCUUUGUCCUGUGACUGCGUACCUUUUGUAUAAUGGGUCAGCGACUUAUAUUCAGUGGCAAGGUUAACCAUCUAGGGGAGCCGUAGGGAAACCGAGUCUUAACUGGGCGUUCAGUCUCUGGAUAUAGACCCGAAACCAGGUGAUCUAGCCAUGGGCAGGUUGAAGGUUGAGUAACAUCAACUGGAGGACCGAACCGACUAAUGUUGAAAAAUUAGCGGAUGACUUGUGGCUAGGGGUGAAAGGCCAAUCAAACCUGGAGAUAGCUGGUUCUCCCCGAAAGCUAUUUAGGUAGCGCCUCGGACGAAUACUACUGGGGGUAGAGCACUGUUAAGGCUAGGGGGUCAUCCCGACUUACCAACCCUUUGCAAACUCCGAAUACCAGUAAGUACUAUCCGGGAGACACACGGCGGGUGCUAACGUCCGUCGUGGAGAGGGAAACAACCCAGACCGCCAGCUAAGGUCCCAAAUUACUACUAAGUGGGAAACGAUGUGGGAAGGCUCAGACAGCCAGGAUGUUGGCUUAGAAGCAGCCAUCAUUUAAAGAAAGCGUAAUAGCUCACUGGUCGAGUCGGCCUGCGCGGAAGAUGUAACGGGGCUAAGUAGUAAACCGAAGCUGCGGCAAUAUACUUUUGUAUAUUGGGUAGGGGAGCGUUCUGUAAGCGGUUGAAGGUGUGUGGUAACGCAUGCUGGACGUAUCAGAAGUGCGAAUGCUGACAUGAGUAACGAUAAAGGGGGUGAAAAACCUCCUCGCCGGAAGACCAAGGGUUCCUGUCCAACGUUAAUCGGGGCAGGGUAAGUCGACCCCUAAGGCGAGGCCGAAAGGCGUAGUCGAUGGGAAACGGGUUAAUAUUCCCGUACUUCUUACAAUUGCGAUGGGGGGACGGAGAAGGCUAGGUGGGCCUGGCGACGGUUGUCCAGGUUCAAGUGCGUAGGCUUAAGAGUUAGGUAAAUCCGGCUCUUUUUAAGGCUGAGACACGACGUCGAGCAUCUACGGAUGUGAAGUCAUUGAUGCCAUGCUUCCAGGAAAAGCCUCUAAGCUUCAGAUUGUAAGGAAUCGUACCCCAAACCGACACAGGUGGUCGGGUAGAGAAUACCAAGGCGCUUGAGAGAACUCGGGUGAAGGAACUAGGCAAAAUGGUACCGUAACUUCGGGAGAAGGUACGCUCUUGAUGGUGAAGUCCCUUGCGGAUGGAGCUGACGAGAGUCGCAGAUACCAGGUGGCUGCAACUGUUUAUUAAAAACACAGCACUGUGCAAAAUCGUAAGAUGACGUAUACGGUGUGACGCCUGCCCGGUGCCGGAAGGUUAAUUGAUGGGGUUAGACUUCGGUCGAAGCUCUUGAUCGAAGCCCCGGUAAACGGCGGCCGUAACUAUAACGGUCCUAAGGUAGCGAAAUUCCUUGUCGGGUAAGUUCCGACCUGCACGAAUGGCGUAAUGAUGGCCACGCUGUCUCCACCCGAGACUCAGUGAAAUUGAAAUCGCUGUGAAGAUGCAGUGUACCCGCGGCUAGACGGAAAGACCCCGUGAACCUUUACUACAGCUUGGCACUGAACAUUGACCCUACAUGUGUAGGAUAGGUGGGAGGCUUUGAAGCACGUACGCCAGUAUGUGUGGAGCCGUCCUUGAAAUACCACCCUUGUAGUGUUGAUGUUCUAACGUCGACCCCUAAUCGGGGUUGCGGACAGUGCCUGGUGGGUAGUUUGACUGGGGCGGUCUCCUCCCAAAGAGUAACGGAGGAGCACGAAGGUGGGCUAAUCACGGUUGGACAUCGUGAGGUUAGUGCAAUGGCAUAAGCCCGCUUGACUGCGAGAAUGACAAUUCGAGCAGGUGCGAAAGCAGGUCAUAGUGAUCCGGUGGUUCUGAAUGGAAGGGCCAUCGCUCAACGGAUAAAAGGUACUCCGGGGAUAACAGGCUGAUACCGCCCAAGAGUUCAUAUCGACGGCGGUGUUUGGCACCUCGAUGUCGGCUCAUCACAUCCUGGGGCUGAAGUCGGUCCCAAGGGUAUGGCUGUUCGCCAUUUAAAGUGGUACGCGAGCUGGGUUUAGAACGUCGUGAGACAGUUCGGUCCCUAUCUGCCGUGGGCGUUGGAAGAUUGAAGGGGGCUGCUCCUAGUACGAGAGGACCGGAGUGGACGAACCUCUGGUGUUCGGGUUGUGUCGCCAGACGCAUUGCCCGGUAGCUAAGUUCGGAAUCGAUAACCGCUGAAAGCAUCUAAGCGGGAAGCGAGCCCUGAGAUGAGUCUUCCCUGAUACUUUAAGUAUCCUAAAGGGUUGUCGGAGACUACGACGUUGAUAGGUCAGGUGUGUAAGUGCUGUGAGGCAUUGAGCUAACUGAUACUAAUUGCCCGUGAGGCUUAACCAU